UCUAGGGAGAUGAUAGCAGGCUGGAUUUCUUGGGGUAACGAACCCCUACACUUUCAAGAUUCAAAGUACUUUCUAAAGUACAAUUAAUUGAUUUCUACAUGAAAUGAAGGGCCUCAUGAUCAGAGAAGGUCAUCCUUUCCAUCCGAACCUCUGUUGACAUUCUGAUGAUCUUUGCUCACAAAUAUGUUCCCGUAUCCCUAUGAAAUCCAGCAUUCUCGGACGGAUUAGUUGAGGAAUUUCAAUUUGGUUUCUUAUUAAUAAGAUCUGAUUACUCCUCUCAGGAAGUAAUGACUCUCUGGAAGGCCAGCAGCCCAUUGUUCUAUGUCAUGUAGGCUUAUUAUCAGUCAACACAAAGAACCGGAUGGGAACUUGGCUCACGAGAGGUGCAUGGGAACUUGGCUCAUGAGGACGAUUUGCAGGACCCGAAGAGUAAACAAGUUAUAGCGGUGGGCAAUCAGGCUGGAAAUCUGUAUUUUGUGGAUAAAAAAUCCUCCUUUGAUUCUUGUAUUAAUAAUUCUUAUUUUACUUCACAUAAUUGUGUUGAUUCCUUGUGGCACUUGAGGCCGGGUCAUCCCUCCUCUGUUGUAAUGCAGUAUAUUACAAAUAUUAACUGCAAUCUCACUUUGCAACCUAAAUUGUGAAGUAUGUCCUAUUGCGGAACAACACCGUUUGCCUUUUCCUUCAAGUAGCAUCACUUUCGCCUCCAUAUUUGAGUUGUUACACACUGAUC